AAGUGAGAAGGGUGUACGAUAUUCCCUUUUCACGUGCGUCCUUUUCUCCUUUCUUCUCUUUUUCCUCCGCACCAUUCAUUUCCAGAGGACAUUCUUUCUUAUCUCUACUCUCUCUGCUUUCCUCUGAAUUGCUAGCUCUAGACAGUCCUUCGCUCCUUUCUUCUACCACCCUCUUCCUCCCAAUUCAUCUUUGGAGAAUUGAAAUCAUGGUCUUCUCUCUCCUCCAUUAUCGCAUUUCUUUACAAAGGCCGGCUAGCCCAUGGACACCCACAAGUUCUCUUCGAUACUAGCACAAGACAUGAAUGAGUGGAACUUCUCUUGGAGGAACUCUGAUACUUGAGCUUGGGUACCUUGACAAUUUAAGAGCUAUAUAUAAUACUACGACAAAAACACCCCUCAGCUGCCAGUCCAGUAGAGUUUGGAUGUCUUACCAAGAUUGAGGUAUUGGAUUUGAGUGGCAAUUAUUUGACUGGAUUGGUUCUGACAGAGAUUGCAAACAUGGAGUCACUGGAACGAAUAGAUUACUUAGUGACAAACUGACAACAACUUCAAAGACACCAUCCCUCCAGAGCUUGAGGAGCAUAACCAACUGUCUGAGCUGCAGUUUAUGAAUACCUUCCAUCUGUUACCAACAGAAAAUUUGGCCAACGCACAUCCGCACUGAUCUUGUAAUGAGACAGUCAGCAACAGCAGACCAGAAAUUCUGCCUCAGUUAGAUGGUACCUCCAGUUUAUCAAGUUCAACACAACAGCCAGGGUUUAAGUGGUGGAUUGUAAUCACGUUCUAACAAGUUAUCAGAUAAUAUGACCACUAUGUAAGCCCCCUUGCUGUAGAAGCACACUAGUUAUAAACUUCGUAGAUUAGAUGAUUUCUAGUAUGAUGGCAGUGAAUUUCUUGUUCCUUAGAUAUGUCACCAAUUAAAUUAUGAUUCAAGAAAUUACAUGUACUACUAAGUAUUUGGUCCUGGUUUCAUUUCUCUCAAAACUACUCAAGACCAAAAGUGCAAAUACUAUACACUGGCAAAUAAUCCUAUCACUUGAAGAUAACACAAAACGUCCAGUUCUAGACCAGAGUUUUCAUUGUAGGCACGUAACUGUCCAACUUACUACAGGGACU